UCGAAAUUCGAACAUCGAGUUUACCCAGUCACUGCUCAAUUUGCCAUGAGUGAUGUGGCUAAUAUCGUUUACGAACAUUCCCAGAUGAAGAGAUCUAAACUUGAUAAGGAUACAAGUUCUUCCACAAACAAUAUAUAUUCAACUAUCAAUGUAAGUUAGUACUUGAAGCGACCAGUUGAGCUAACUAGCCAAUUUAGCUAGCAAGCUAACAGUAGCUAAGACAUUACCAAAUUGGUUAGAGCUAACGUUACUUAUUAGAGGGCUUGCUUUUGCAUCACAAAUCACCUAGCAACUGCAUCAGACGCCAUGUUGGAAGACCAAAGUCAGUCUGUUGGAAGCCCUUCAACUGUUCACAUGGCUGGCAGGGUUUUGCUACCACUGGAAAAUGUGGAAACAUUUACCAUUAUAGUAAUUCAUUUUUCUAAGGACCCAGAAAACGGAGGCAGUGGGAGAACCUAUUCUAAUACAGAGAGAUGUAAAACCCUGUCUGCAGAUGAAGAGGUCCCAAUGACUGUCCCGAGAGAAUAAGGGUACAUCCUUGUAUACCAUGGAUUAUAAGUGUACCUAUAGCCCACUGAUGAAAUGCUUGUGAGGAAGCCAAGGACAUCAGGCAGGAGUGGCAUAAAAUCCACUCUUUACCAAGCAAUCCCUGGGACCCUUCCUGACAUGACAGUGCUGUCUGCUGGACCAAGUUUGAGGAGCAUGAGACCACAGCCUGCCAUUGCCAAGGUAUUGCAUGGAUUGGAAGAAAUUACUCUGGUUGACUCUCUAAAUUUGGUCCAGUGCUGUCAUGUCAGUGUCCCCUUACUGUCACCAGAGAUUCUAAAGCAUUCAAUUGCUCCUGCUUUCCCCCAACUCCCAGUAAAAGAAACGGUAAUUUAAACUUUGUCCCUACUUGCACUCAGUUUUACCACAUGGAGAGCUUAAAGGUGUCACCAUCAUUGUCAUCUGCUAUUGAGAAUGGCACAGUCGAGCAGUGUGCCCGUCCACUAUGGAAGAAAUUAUGAAACCACGUGUGACUGCUACCCGGUUUAGUGAGGCAUGCCACGUGCGUGGGCUGUCAUCUCGCCAUGGCCUAGCCAUGAGAAUGCUUAAAGGUGAGCGGCAAAACGAAACUAUGAGAAAGGGGCUUGAGCCAGAGGUUCUAUAGAACUACUCUGAAUUGUUUAAUGUCUCGGUCAAACCUCGUGGUUUCGUUGUGAACCCAGAUGCACCCCAUCUUGGGGCAUGCCCUGAUGGGAAAGUUUAUGACCCUUCUGCAGCGCCACCCUUCGGACUUGCCGAGAUCAAGUGCCCUGAUGUUGAGUGUAACUGAUGCGAAGCACAUUAACUUUGUCAAUGGCCCGGCCAAGCUCAAUCACAGCCACAAAUAUCACUGGCAAGUCCAGGGCCAACUGGCUGUAACCAGUUUAGAUUGAUGCAACUUUGUUACAAGCACUAGAAGUGAUAUUACAGUAGAGAGAGUUGAGAGAUGAUGCUUUGAUAGCAGAGAUGAGAGAAACUUUACUUCUACACCUACAUGGAUGUGUACUUUAAGAUGUAGUAUAGCAGGUGAGCCAAUCCCACUUGGCAGGCCACUGUAACAUUGUUGCCCAAGGCAAUGUACAUGUAAUGUAUUUAACUAAUCAAAAUUGUAUGUAGAGUAAAUUGUUUUAAUGAAUUAAUUGUGUGAUGUUUGUCUAUCCCGUGUGGCUCAGUUGGUUGAACAUGACAUUUGCAAUGCUAGGAUUGUGGGUUUGAUUCCCACAGGGGACCAGUACGACGUGAAAGUACGGAAAUGUAUGCACUCACUACUGGAAGUCACUCUGGAUAAGAGCAUCUGCUAAAUUACUAAAAUGUAAAUGUAAGCAACAUUGCAAUAGAAUAAAUUAAAAUCUUCAAAUUAAAAAAGGAUGUUCUCUAAUAGAUUAAUGCAUUAUGCAAACAAUAAAUCCCAAAACACCCAUCUUAUUCAUAAAAAAGAUUUAUCAAUACAUAUCCAAUAUACAAAUUAUCCCAAAUUCAUAUCUUGUCGAAUAGAUCAAUUUAUAAUAAUCACACAAAAAAACAUAUGUACACGUAGGUAUAAAGCCGUUAUUUAUAAUGACCUAAUUAAUUGAACUUAAAUCAAUCAUUGAUUUGUAUUGUGCCUUGCCUUGCUUGAGCAUGUUUUCACACUUGCUUAUCACCCUUGAGAUCCAGAGGGCCCUGGUAGUUCAUUAAGCAGCCGUUCGUCCACAGUUGAUUGACAGAGCCUGCCAGAAUGAUUGGGAGAAUCAUGUCCCAGAUAUGGUACCUCUUCACCCUCCUAAUGGCUCUUUCCACUAGCACUCCCAGACGUGAAAUGGCUUGCGUUCACUCUGUGUCCUUCCAUGUUAGCAGUUGCUCUUUUGAUUGAGGGAAGGAUGAGUGUUGCCCCCACAUCUGACAGCAUCCUAUUUAUGAUGUACCCCUUGUCUGCUGUGCAUCCAUCACCAGGCUCAAACAGCUUGAGGAUUCCAGAGAGACAAGUGAUCUCCUGAUCAGAGAUGGAUCCAGUGAAAAGCUUGGUGCAAUCCAAAUCAGGCCCUUAAUGAAGGUGGUGUGGUUUUUGUAAGAUGAAAAAGUCUCCGACUGUAAUGUCAGAGAGGAGAGGUUGGCACAUCUCAGCUCUGUGCAGUCCAUGAUAACUCUGACCUCUGAACAGAACACCUUGAACUUGCCAGGCAUGGUAGCCUGCACCUGCUUCCUGGACACAGCCCAAGACAAGAUAUAGGUAGUUGGUCCAGGUUAUUUUAACGUAGCUCACUGUAGGGACACACACCAAAGAUGUACGCCAACACCUUCUCCUUCAGCCCAGCUGCUACUCGACAGCAGUAAAGAAAAAACUUGUCAAUGAGUGGGAGCUUUCUGUUGGGGCUUGGUGUUGCGCUUCCCAUUCCAGCCUUCUGGGCCUAGAUUAACCUGGAGGCAGAGGGGGCAAUGGACUCCCAGAACAUCAUCAAGACCUCUGAGUGGAACCGGGUAUAGAACCUGACGUCCUCAUUGGGUGCACAGAAUCUUUGGAGCUGGAGAUGGUGAACAGAGAGCUGUUGGGCUUGGGGCUCUAGCUCCUUGAUUCAGUCCAGUGCAGCAUCCAACACACCUAUAGAAAAGAAAGGGGUAAUUUAUGUGGCAAAAUUGUGCUAUUAUUCAGUUUGAUUCUCAGUAUCAUGACACAGUAAACAAUCUCUUACUUAGUUUAGGUCUCAGGACAUAUGUAAUCAAUCAAGUAUGUUAUGGUAGUGCUAAGAAAUGUUGGUUCAAGGAACUAACGGGAGGGUGGCUUAAGUUGGAGAGCAGAGUGGGAAAACAGAGAGCAUGCAAGCUGGCUAGCGAGUUAAUAGUUUUGUUAUUGUUAUUUCAAAAGCUGAUUACAGGUAAUGCAAUACCUGAACUAUAGCAACGGUUUGCAAAACUACAACUUGAAGGAUAUUGUCUACAAUCCACUUUGAGAGAGGCUUUCCCUGUAUCUCCAAAGCACACAAACAGCUGAUCAGAGUAAUGGAUCCCCUGAGUCCGCUCCACGUACUCGUUUAGGGAUCUCACAGGACACAGAGUGCGUACAUCAACAUGAGCCCCAGAAGGCAUGGAGGUGGAUAAGGCUGUUGGCACCAUUUCCCUGUUCGCAGGACCUUUGGUAGGAAGGCGGGAUUAGGCCGCAGGGUAACGCUCGCCUUACCCGGCCCUAAAUGAUAACAUUCAUUACUAACAGGCAAAGCAUGGAGCUCGCCAACCCUCUUGGUAGAGGCGAUGGCCACCAGAAACGCUGUCUUAAGAGAGAGAUGUUUCAAGUCUAUUGGUUGGAAGGGAGGUCUGGAUAGUACUCCCAAGAACCAGAUUCAAAUCACAUUUGGGAACUGAGGGUGCUCUUGAGGGUUGUAAUCAACGGACUCCCUUAAGAAACCCGGCCAUGAGCGGGUGGCUGCCAAGCGGCCCAUCCUGCUCUUCAUCAUGACAUGCUGAAAUGGCUGCUACAUAUACCUUAUGUAUGGAUGCAGCCCUGCCAGUAUCGAACAAAGACCUAAAGAACUGGAACAAAGAUCUUAUGCCACAAGAUUCUGGUGCAACCCCCUGCUCCGCACACCGCUGGCAGAACACGUCACCUCGUGUCAUAGGUUGACGUGGUGGAGGGGGCCCUGGCACUCUGUAAGAUGUUAACAACAGAGGGCUUAAGAUCUAAACUAGACCAUUUUCCCUGUUCAGCAGCCAGGCCCACAGCUGCAGGCGGAGGGAUUCGGAUGCCACAAUGUGCCCUCCGCCUGUGACAAUAGGCCCGGCCUCCGAGGUAGUUCCAAUGCUGUUCCCGCUAGGAGUGACAGUAUUGUGCUGAUCUUGUGGUGUCUCGGCCAUCUCGGGGCAAUCAGAAGGACCAUGUGGCUCGCUUCCCUGAUUCUGUUCAAAGUUGCUGGAAUCAGCGGGAUCGGGGGGGAAGGCAUAUAGCCUCUUUCUCAGCCACUCGUGGGCAAAGGCUUCUAGACUGAGUGGUCCGGGGGGGGUUGGAUAUCAAGAACCAGAGGGGGCACUGUGGGUUCCUCUCUGAGCCAAACAGAUCCACCUCCGCUUCCCCAAAGAUUCCCCACAUGCAACUCACUAUUCUGGGAUGUAGUCGCCACUCCCCUUCCGGAGGGCCUUCCUUGGACAGUAUGUCCACCGUAAUGUGUUCAGAAUCCCUGGGAGGUGUACAACUCUUAGUGAGGCCAGAUUCUGUAGACACAACAGAAGGGUAUGUGCCAUCUGGUGGAGGUGGAUGGAACCCAGAACCCCUUGGUGGUUUAUGUACUCUACCACUGUGGUGCUGUCUGUCUGAUCCAGCACAAUGUUUGUCCCCCAGUUGUGGGAGAAAGUUGAACAGAGUUAGUUGAACUGAUCUCAACUCCAGCAUGUUAAUGUGGAGUUUGGACCAGCUGGGGCUCCAUGUCCCACUGGCCGCCCUCCCCCACAAUACUGCUCCCCAGCCUGUCAAGGAGGCGUCUGUUUGAACCAGUUCCCUCCGAUGGAAUCUGCCCAGGUAUAUCCCACCUGAAAGGAAAUCCAGGGAUCACCAUCUUGCCAAUGCUUGAGUACAUUCCUUGGACACAUACAGGUGACAAUACCUGUGUUCUAUGGAUAUCAGAAUAUAUUAGGGAAAAUCCAUUCACAAUCCCCAAAAAUGUAUGGAUGUAAGGAGCCAAACUCAACCGACACCUUGAGUAUGUUGACAUGCACACAAAUAAUUUGAUAUUAAACUGAUUAUGGCAAUAGGCAGAUUUUGCAAUAGUCAUGUCAACACCUUACUCUGCUGAUCUUAAUGGGCGUAAGAUAAAAAUUGAAGUAAGCAUAGGCCGAUUAAAACAGCUGGUUUUCUGAGCAAUCUUCAGAAUUAUUAGAACAUGUAAACACCUUAAUCGGCGUUCUAGCGGUGCAUUUGAUCUGCACAUGUGCUAGCACCAGCCGAGCAAGCCUCCGUCUUUAGCACAACUAUUUUAACUAGAGUAUAUUAUAUAAUGUUAAAGACAUACAUGUUGCCAUAUACAGUACAUAUGAACCUGUUAGCCAUUGAUAAAUGUUUUGGAGCCUUUUUGUAAAAAGGUGUUUAAUUUUUUUGUGAGUAUCCUGCUUCCAUAUUAGUCCAUCCGUGCCAUCAAUGAAGUAAAGUAUGAGAAGUCAGCCGAGGACUUUACCAACAUGGUGUUUGACAAGAUCGACAUCAAUGGAGAUGGUGAGCUGUCCCUGGAGGAGUUCAUGGAGGCAUCCAGACUUAUGUCAAGUAUUAACGAGAGAGAGAGAUGUUUAUUUAUUUUCCCUUUUGUACUUUAAAUAUUUGCAUAUCAUUACAACACUGUAUAUAGACAUACUAUGACAUUUUAGAUGUC